UCUGCCAGUAGUCAUAUGCUCCGUUCGAGGACUCAAGCCAUGCAUGUCUCAGCGCAAACGGAACAACAGUGGAUCUGUGAAUGGCUCCUUACAUCAGCAGUCAUCCCGGUGACAAAGUGUGUGGUUGGCAACCACCUGUCACAGCGCAGGCCAGGUUGCCCAGUUGGACAUCCACGAAAACCUUGUGGCUAAUACACGUCUGCCAAGGUCGGCUGUGUUCACACAGGCCCUCUCAGCGAUUGGCUGUCACCUGUGCAGUCGGUUGCUACCAGCCGGUCGAAAGACCAGGCACCCGCGAGAGGGUAGCGUGUCACGGUUGAUUCAGGCUGGUCCACCUCUGGAAGGGACACACCAGCGCUGGCUGUGAUAUGGUUGGUGGCCUUCGUGCCACCUGUCAAGCUUGGUCACAGGAACUUCUGACCUAUCAGCUCGGAUUGUGGUGUCGUGGACCACAAUGGCCUUGACGGGUAACGGAGAAUCAGGGUUCGAUUCCGGAGAGGGAGCCUGAGAAACGGCUACCACUACCAAGGUGGGCAGCAGGCGCGCAAAUUGCCCAAUACAAAAUCAGUCUGUGAGGCAGCGAAGAACUGUAGCAAUCCCGCUGGAUCAUCAUCCAGUGGGACUUGGAAUGGAUGCAAUCCAAACACAGUGACGAGUAUCAACUGGAGGGCAAGUCUGGUGCCAGCAGCUGCGGUAAUUCCAGCUCCAAGGGCGUAUACUAUCAUUGCUGCUGUUAAAACACCUGUAGUCUGCCACUGGGUCGCAGGGCUGUUGAGUGGCCCGUCCAGGCGUGACGUCUCCGCGGUACGCGGUGUGGAAGGGCUUCGGCCCGGAAGCGCCGUGUUUCCUGUGGCGGCCCGCGUCGGGACGGGGGAAAACCCUCAGCAGCAUGUCCUGUGCCCGCUUCUCGAUGACGGUGUGACUCGCUCCUGCCGAAAGCCCCCUUCAGUGGAGGCCGAAAGGUGGUUGUGCCUUGAAAGCAGGCGUGGACGCAUCCUGGCCACGACCCUCGGUGGGCGUGCAAGCAAAAGCCAGUGUCCACCACCGGAGCCGACUGUCAGUGACACCCUGGAAAACUCAGUGUGCUCAAAGCGUCCACACACGGCUGGAUGUCCAUCCAGGGAACGUCAAAGCAUCGACCGAGCAAGGAACGAGGAGUUGUGCUGGUCUUGGUGCCUGCUUCGGGCAAUGUGGUGCAUGGUCUAAACCGGUCCCUGCGGUGUCGUGGACGUGUCUGUGGUGGGCCUGUCGUCUUCGGGCGGCAGCAACCCGCCCUCUCGCGCUCCUGCGUCGCAAACCGGGCUUCUGAGUGUGUAUCAAGCGAAUCUGACGGGACCGUUCGGGGUGAAAGGAACUGCAGCGCCAGAGGUGAAAUUCUUAGAUCGCUGCAAGACCCACGGCAGCGAAGGCGUUCUGCAAGGACGUGUUCGUCGAUCAAGGAUGAGAGUCUGGGGAGCGAAGAUGAUCAGACACCGUCGUAGUCCAGCACUGUAAACGAUGCCAGCAAGGCCUCGGCUGGGAAAGUCCAACAGACCCAGCCGGUGCCAUGCCCCCUACACCGAGAAAUCCACAGCCUGUGGGUUCAGGGGGGAGUACCGUCGCAAGGCUGAAACUUAAAGGAAUUGACGGAAUGGCACCACAAGGUGUGGAGUAUGCGGCUUAAUUUGACUCAACACGGGGAAUGUUACCAGGUCAGGACACAGCCGGGAUGGACAGAUUGAGAGCUCUUUCUUGAUCCUGUGGACGGUGGUGCAUGGCCGCUCCUGAUUGGUGGAGUGAUUUGUCUGGUUGAUUCCGAUAACGAGUGAGAUCUCUGCCUCCCAAUAGCCAGGGGCUCGCAUCUGGUAGGGCCUGUCUCCCGGAGGGAACCCCGCAUCCAACGGCGCGUCGUCGUCGUCGUGCUCUCGUCCGAACCCUCCUCACGGGGGGCGAGGGCGUUGGCCGGCGGUCGGUGGCGUGUCGGUGGGGGAAAGCCCGGGAACACCCGAGAGCCUUUCUCUGUUCAGCUUCUCUGAGGUGCUGCGUACACUGCCAAGUGCGCGCAUGCUAGAGCCAACAGCAGGUCUGUGAUGCUCCCAGAUGUCCUGGGCCGCACGCGCACUACAUUGACACAGUGAAUGAGUCACACGCCCCACUCUGUUGGGCCCUGGCCGGAAGUGGUCGGGAAAUCUUGCGAAUCUGCUGUCGUACUGGGGAUAGAUGAUUGCAACUGUCUGCCUUGAACGCGGAAUACCUAGUAUGCGCAGGUCAUCAGCCUGCACAGAUUGUGUCCCUGCCAUUUGUACACACCGCCCGUCGUUGCUACCGAUGGUAGCUGGAUAGAACCAUCAGGAGGUCAGGCCACUUCCCCGGACGUGACGUGCCGCGGUUCGCCGUGCGUACGCCUGCGCUCCAUGGGCCAAGCUGAAAUUGGGUAAUGUCCAGCUGCUAGAGGAAGCAAAAGUCGUAACAAGGU
rnacentral:rRNA from 1 species